rfam:Roseibium sp. TrichSKD4 genomic scaffold scf_1119120597016, whole genome shotgun sequence.
CUGUGGGACACCCCUCCCCAACGAGGGGUAGCGAGCAUUC